UACUCAAUGGGACGCUCAUCAUUGGAUGAC
rnacentral:sRNA from 1 species